rnacentral:rRNA from 18 species
AGGGAGCAAACCCGGGGAACUGAAACAUCUAAGUACCCGGAGGAAAGGAAAUCAAUUGAUACUCCCCUAGUAGUGGCGAGCGAACGGGGACCAGCCGAGCCAUGAGUGUGACUGGAAUGUGUUGGAAAGCACAGCCAAAGUGGGUGACAGCCCCGUACAGGAAGCAUGAUUGGACGUAUUAAGUAGGGCGGGACACGUGAAAUCCUGUCUGAAGAUCGGAGGACC